UGAUAAUGGCCACAGCUGAACGAGCUCUGAUACGCGUCUCCCCUCUCUUUUUCUUUUUCUAUAUAUUUUGUUCGUUUAACAGGUGAUUAGACAUACACAUCCCUACAUUUGCUUUGCUGCUUUUGCUGAGGUGCCACAACUUUAAAUGAUGAAGGUUGCCCUGCUGCUGCUGGUGGUGAUGGCUGUAGUUAUGCAAUGGCAGGUCUCGGAAGGCUGCAGGACCAGGUCAGAAGUUUGUCUCCCGCGAACAAAAAAUCCUUCUGACGCCUGCUGUGAGGGUUUGAAAUGCUCGUCCUUGUUUAUAUUUCCUCCAUUUUUCUUAUGCAAUUGACCUGAUGACACGCACUGAUCUGCACGCUAACAAGUUGUAAAAUGUUGAGUUAACACAGACUUGAUAUUUUGACUUGUACUAAGGCCAUUGCAGGAUGUCUUCUGGUCAAUAAAACAAUAAUUCGAUU